GUCUUUUUGAAUUAAUUUAAAGUCUAACCUGCCCACUGAAAAUUUAAAUGGCCGCGGUAUUUUGACCGUGCAAAGGUAGCAUAAUCAUUAGUUUUUUAAUUGAAAGCUAGAAUGAAUGGUUGAAUAAGAAAAUAACUGUCUCUAUUUAAAUAUUAAAAUUUUAUUUUUAAGUAAAAAAGCUUAAUUAUUUUUAAAAGACGAGAAGACCCUAUAGAGUUUUAUAAAUUUUAUAAUUGUAAUUUUUAGGCAUUAAAUAUUUAGAUUAUAAAAUUUAUUUGGUUGGGGUGAUUAAAAAAUUUAAUAAACUUUUUUUAUUUUUAAACAUUAAUUUAUGAAUAUAUGAUCUUAUUAUUUUGAUUAAAAGAUUAAAUUACCUUAGGGAUAACAGCGUAAUUUUUUUAAAGAGUUCAAAUCGAAAAAAAAGUUUGCGA
rnacentral:rRNA from 1 species